AAAACGUUUUGCGGUCGGCAUGCCAGUGUAACUGCUGUGAGUACAGUUCUGACCCGCUGUCAAGCACUGAAUUGCCAGCAGCCACAUGAAAGCCAGGUUGAAAAUUGGACAAUGCAAUCACAAAACUUUAAUCCCAGUUUCACAGGCUAAAGAAUUCCCACCAAGCUGACUAAUAUCCACGAUCUGGGACCAGUUAGCUUGCUCCAUCAAAGUUAUUCCCCUCAAAUCCCCUUCCCGCACAUACAAUUAAAGUAAAUGAUGCUCGGAUGGAACAUCUUGUGGCAAUAUGAGAAAAUAAAUAACUAGAUGUAGAUGGGAAUUACUUUUGCGUAUUUUGUUUUGCAUUUUGAUGAGUUUCGUCGAGUAUCGGGCGCACAUCCAAUUUAUGCCCACGGCUUUUUCCGUCUGACUACGACUAUCGCAAGGCAUUCACUCCACAUGAGUCUCUGUGUCUACUUCUACGUUAAUGUGUGUGUCUAAUAUAUCACGGAAUCGAUUUUACGCCCUGGUGGAGCAGCUUCUCGUCCCAUUCUCCUGCGGGCUUUAAGCGAGUUUGGCAACUUUAAGCACUUCUUAUCACUUAAACUCGCCGAAAGUGACCAUGAAUGCUUCAGGAAGUGAAUAUUUCAUUAAUGCGCCGACAGGGACAGCUGAUUGUCACCCAGUCCAUGGCCAUCCAAAUUAGAUCUGGGAGCUGGGCCGUAGGCCAGCGAACCGAGCCAAACCGAAACGAAGGAGUGCGUGGGCCAGCUCAAGAGUUCUUCAAUUAGGCCACAACGGACAGAGGCAUAAACAUUUUAAUGACUCACGAGAAAGGGCGAUCAAUGGCAGACAGUAUGCGAUGCAGACCCAAGCGCCCGCAGACACAUUCUUAUUCAUUAGCCUGGUCCGAACACCAAAAGGACACUCCACACCAGGCGAAAGGAUAGCGCCCGCCAUGGAAGCCCCAAGUGCGUCCUGGAAACUCGAGUCA